GUCUAUGGCCAUAACACGCUGAAUGCCCCUGAUCUUGUUUGAUCUUGGAAGCUAAGUAGGGUUGAGACUAGUUAGUACUUGGAUGGGAGAAAUGAGAUAAUAUACCCUAAAAC
rnacentral:rRNA from 1 species